rnacentral:rRNA from 1 species
GAUGAACGCUGGCGGCGUGCCUAAUACAUGCAAGUCGAGCGAACGGACGAGAAGCUUGCUUCUCUGAUGUUAGCGGCGGACGGGUGAGUAACACGUGGAUAACCUACCUAUAAGACUGGGAUAACUUCGGGAAACCGGAGCUAAUACCGGAUAAUAUUUUGAACCGCAUGGUUCAAAAGUGAAAGACGGUCUUGCUGUCACUUCUAGAUGGAUCCGCGCUGCAUUAGCUAGUUGGUAAGGUAACGGCUUACCAAGGCAACGAUGCAUAGCCGACCUGAGAGGGUGAUCGGCCACACAGGAACUGAGAGACGGUCCAGACUCCUACGGGAGGCAGCAGUAGGGAAUCUUCCGCAAUGGGCGAAAGCCUGACGGAGCAACGCCGCGUGAGUGAUGAAGGUCUGCGGAUCGUAAAACUCUGUUAUUAGGGAAGAACAUAUGUGUAAGUAACUGUGCACAUCUUGACGGUACCUAAGCAGAAAGCCACGGCUAACUACGU